rnacentral:rRNA from 1 species
UGGGGAAUCUUGGACAAUGGGCGCAAGCCUGAUCCAGCAAUGCCGCGUGUGUGAAGAAGGCCUGCGGGUUGUAAAGCACUUUCGGCGGGGAAGAACGCCCUGAGGUCAAUAGCCUCGGGGGCUGACGUUACCCGCAGAAGAAGCACCGGCUAACUCCGUGCCAGCAGCCGCGGUAAUACGGGGGGUGCGAGCGUUAAUCGGAAUCACUGGGCGUAAAGGGCGCGUAGGUGGUCGGGUCAGUCGGGUGUGAAAGCCCUGGGCUUAACCUGGGAAUUGCAUUCGAGACGGCCCGGCUAGAGUUUGGUAGAGGGAAGCGGAAUUCCGGCAUGUAGCGGUGAAAUGCGUAGAGAUGCGGAGGAACACCGGUGGCGAAGGCGGCUUCCUGGACCAACACUGACACUGAGGCGCGAAAGCGUGGGGAUCAAACAGGAUUAGAUACCCUGGUAGUCCACGCCCUAAACGAUGAGAACUAGACGUUGGGGAGUUUAACUCGCCAGUGUCGCAGCUAACG